AGAGUUUGAUCCUGGCUCAGGACGAACGCUGGCGGCGUGCCUAACACAUGCAAGUCGAACGGACGAGGCCCCUUCGGGGACCGAGUUAGUGGCGGACGGGUGAGUAACGCGUGAGCAACCUGCCUUUCAGAGGGGGACAACAGUUGGAAACGACUGCUAAUACCGCAUGAUGCAGCGAGAUCGCAUGGUCUUGCUGUCAAAGAUUUAUCGCUGAAAGAUGGGCUCGCGUCUGAUUAGCUAGUUGGAGGGGUAACGGCCCACCAAGGCGACGAUCAGUAGCCGGACUGAGAGGUUGAACGGCCACAUUGGGACUGAGAUACGGCCCAGACUCCUACGGGAGGCAGCAGUGGGGAAUAUUGGGCAAUGGGGGAAACCCUGACCCAGCAACGCCGCGUGAAGGAAGAAGGCUUUCGGGUUGUAAACUUCUUUUACCAGGGACGAAGAACGUGACGGUACCUGGAGAAAAAGCCACGGCUAACUACGUGCCAGCAGCCGCGGUAAUACGUAGGUGGCAAGCGUUGUCCGGAUUUACUGGGUGUAAAGGGCGUGUAGGCGGAGCUGCAAGUCAGAUGUGAAAUCUGGGGGCUUAACCCUCAAACUGCAUUUGAAACUGUAGCCCUUGAGUAUCGGAGAGGCAGGCGGAAUUCCUAGUGUAGCGGUGAAAUGCGUAGAUAUUAGGAAGAACACCAGUGGCGAAGGCGGCCUGCUGGACGACAACUGACGCUGAGGCGCGAAAGCGUGGGGAGCAAACAGGAUUAGAUACCCUGGUAGUCCACGCUGUAAACGAUGAAUACUAGGUGUGGGGGGACUGACCCCCUCCGUGCCGGAGUUAACACAAUAAGUAUUCCACCUGGGGAGUACGACCGCAAGGUUGAAACUCAAAGGAAUUGACGGGGGCCCGCACAAGCAGUGGAUUAUGUGGUUUAAUUCGACGCAACGCGAAGAACCUUACCGGGAUUUGACAUCCUACUAACGAAGCAGAGAUGCAUUAGGUGCCCUUCGGGGAAAGUAGAGACAGGUGGUGCAUGGUUGUCGUCAGCUCGUGUCGUGAGAUGUUGGGUUAAGUCCCGCAACGAGCGCAACCCCUAUUGUUAGUUGCUACGCAAGAGCACUCUAGCGAGGCUGCCGUUGACAAAACGGAGGAAGGCGGGGACGACGUCAAAUCAUCAUGCCCCUUAUGUCCCGGGCUACACACGUAAUACAAUGGCGGUCAACAAAGGGAAGCAAAGCCGCGAGGCAGAGCAAACCCCCAAAAGCCGUCUCAGUUCGGAUUGCAGGCUGCAACUCGCCUGCAUGAAGCUGGAAUUGCUAGUAAUCGUGGAUCAGAAUGCCACGGUGAAUACGUUCCCGGGCCUUGUACACACCGCCCGUCACACCAUGAGAGUCGGGAACACCCGAAGUCCGUAGUCUAACCCGCAAGGGAGGGCGCGGCCGAAGGUGGGUCUGAUAAUUGGGGUGAAGUCGUAACAAGGUA
rnacentral:rRNA from 1 species